CACGGAGGCUGGCCGUGCCCAGGCCGCCCCUGCCCAGGAAAAGCCCUGCGGGGAUGAGGCGCCGGCAGGAGCUUGCCCGGCGCCUGCCCAGCCCCUGGCCCGCAGCGUUCCUGCCUGCCCCACUGGCAGCGCAGCCGUCCCGCAGCCCCCGGCCCCACGGCGAUGGUGCUCCAUGGCCAAGAGGGCCCGGCGGGCUCUGCGCCGCCUUUUCUCCUGCAGCUGCCUCAGGGGGCAGCCGGAGGAGUGAGCCCGGGGCCAGCACCAGGGCGUUCAGCAAAGAUGCCGGCUCGCCCUGAGGAUGCCCGGCUCCCCGGGGCAGCGGCAGGUCCCUGAGGUAACGGCACCAGGGUGAUCCAAAGACGGGAUGCAUGGAUGGAUGGGUGGAUGGUGGCCAAGGCAACCACUUGCCAAGGAUAGGAAAAUGCCUCCCUGGAUACCAGCAACAACAUAGACUGGUGAAAGGUGUUAACCCCGGCUGAAUGACCUGGUGUCCUCAACUCCAUAAGAAGCACCAGGGCCCCAGUGCAGAAGCUCACACUGGGGAAGGAGCAACGGGACGCCGCUUGUGACCAGCGUCUUGAACUUUCCUCUGUCCUGACAUCUUCCCCUCCCCACUCCCACUCUUCCCCACUCAAUCCCACUCUUGUUCUUCCCCACCUCACCCCAGCCCAGCCCAACCCUUGCUCUUCCCAUUCUUUCCUUCUCAUUAUCCUCUUUCCCAUCCCUUUCUCUCUACCCCACAUUUACUGUUCAAUAAAGCCCCCAUUGUUCACUUUGAUA